ensembl:lncRNA
GUCCCGCCGCCGCCGCCCCCAGUGUCCGCGGAGUCGGCGCGGCGGGCCCGCUCGGUGCACUCGCCCGCGCCGCCUCUGCCUCGCCGACUCUUCCCGCCGGGCCCGUGUCCCCUGCGGACCGCCCAGGCCGGCACUCGGCCGACGCUCGCCCCUGACCCUGCUAACGGCUGGGGCGGGGCGGGGAGCGGGCGCCCCGGGGUGCGGGGCUGUGGGCGGUGGGGGCGGGAGGAUCUCAGGUGGCUGGCGCCGAGCCUGAGGGACCGGGCGCCCCCCCCCCGAGCUGUCCCGGGCGGGGUCCUGGACCCUGGACGAGGGAAGUUCGGAGCAGGUGGGUGUCCCUGCGGUGUCAGCGGCCCGGGACUCGCAGCGGGGAAGAGCCUGAGGGAGUGGAAAGGACCUGGGCGGGAGUGCGGAAGUUCUGGAAAACUGGGUUGUCGGUACCCGCUGCACAGAGAGGUACCAUCUGACUAGUCUCAGUUUGAGAGAACUGGGAACAGACAAAGCGGCACUACAUGUCUCUUGUGAUUUCUAAGCUGAAAUAUCUAUAUUGUUUUUCUCCCAUGCUUUGUAACUAGAAAGAAAAAAAUGGAAACGUUUGCUUAUGUUUUGUUUCAUAUUAUUAUUACUACUGUUCAUUGCUACUACCAUUCACCUGUUUUCAACCGGAUUCAUAAUCCAAAUUAGCUUUCACUGCUUUGUGCAAACCAAAUGAGAUCAUAUUAGCCCAAUUGAUUUAAGUGUUUUACAGUUGAAGAAUUUUUAUAAAUCUCUAAUCCAGCCUCAUCAAUAGGAAAUUGAAGACCAAGAUCAGAAGAUUUAUAAGUAUGGUAAAUAAUAGAGCUGGAGCCAGACUCUAGAAACUUAGUAUAAUUUAAGACUAUCAUGCAUGGUUUUUAAAGUUAAGACAUGAAAACGUGGGUCACUUUAAAAUACUUGAACCUAACCCUAGAGCAAAUGGAUCAGCUUCUAGAACUUAGACCUUAGUCGUGGAUACGCUUUGAAAAUACCCCAGACCACUAAUGUCUAGCAAAGGUUGGGGGCCAUAUAUUCUAAGGAAGAAAACACUUCUAAAGAAAAUUGAGUCCGUUACCUAAAAUUCAAAUGCUAAGUUUUAUUAUACACACACUCCUUUCUUGUCAUGCAUGGCUGUUACCAAACAGUUGGUAUACAUACAGCUUUAACCUAGGAAACACAAACCGCCAGAACACGGUAAAUCUCCCUUUAAAUGAGACGAUAGAACUAUAAAUACUAGUGUUCCACCUUAUUUCUGUUUCCAUUUUUAAAAAUACCAUCCUUCAAAACCCGGCCAACAUCAUCAUCCCAACAGGAUCAGAACCCAGAAUACACAAACACUGCUGAGUCUGAAGAUUCUGAGGUUAAAAUAGCUUAGUUAUUUCAAAUAUGUUAAAUGUGAACUUGAAAGCAGUUAUUCAGAUUGGGGAAAUGUGGGUUCAUUUGCAGCAGACAGUCACCUUCUGGGACCUACAUUAUUUUCUGCCAGUCAUACAGUGUUCUGAGGUCUGUUUCCCUGUCCCCACCCCUUCGUCUCCCUGGACAAGACAGUGCCAGUACUUGAAACCUAGUAGGCAUGAACCUGAAUCUAUGCCACAACUGAUAUAGGAGUAUGAGUGGGCUGACUAGGAUUCUCUGUUGUUUGGCGUUUUGUUGUUGCUGCUACAUAUGUUUUAUUCUGCUGUUUUAGUCUUUUGCUACAAGUGAGUUUUUCUUAUUAAAGGAAAUUCUUAGAAGUGGAAGUACAUAAAAUCAGCUGUCAUUAGUCAAGUACCUUUACAAAGUGAAAGUUUGGCACUUUUAUAUCAUACAGAGAGAUAUAUACAUGAUGUAUAUCAUAUAGAGCUUUAAAAUGGGUUGUAGCCUAGGUGAUCUACUUUUAAAGUAGUCACUCAAUUUAAGAUAAGGUUGCUAUGCUCAUAAUGAAAUGAAAUAUUGUCACAAGGCUUGGUUUUCCCAAAAUAUGGAUCUUAGAGAUGUCCGUUUUAUUCUAGUUUGUGUUUACCUGAAAUGUUAGUCGUAUCUUACUUUGUCAUAUAUGGAAUUCUAUUUUGCUUGGACAUAUCUCUCAGUAGGUGAACACAUUUGUAGUAGAUUCAAAAUGCAAUGUUCUUGCUUAAUUUUAGAAGUAACUGUCUGUUAUUACAGAAUUUGGGUUCCUGUAGGUUUAUAACCCCUGUGAGUCUGUGAACUCUCAUUUUGCAUAAUGAUAAGAACUAUUUAUAAUCUACUAGGUAAGUAUUAGGAGGCAUACCUGAAGUAUAAAACUAUAAAAUAAUCACAUUCUUGUCAUGUACUAAGGCCUCAGUAUUCUGCCAUGAAAUCUGGAUACCUCACAAGGAUGCCUCACAAGACUCAGAAUCACUUCUGCUCUACUGUGGAUAGAUGGUUGUUAGUCUACAGCUUAUCCCGACAGCUAUAGAUGAUUCUGUCUUGCAGCGCUGCAUGAGAAGCACUCUGGAUUGUGUUAUGUGGCUUGGUAGUUGGUCACUUGUUCUUGUUAGUUUUGUCAAUUUGACACAAACCCUUCAGGUCUCCUGGGAAGAGAGAAUCUCAACUAGGGAAUUGCCUCUAUCAAAAUAAACUGUAAGAAGUGAGGGUGUGUUUUCUUGAU